GUGAGGAAUAUUGGACAAUGGAGGAAACUCUGAUCCAGCCAUGCCGCGUGAGUGAUGAAGGCCUUCGGGUUGUAAAACUCUUUUAGGUGUGAAAAUGAUGAUGGUAGCACCAGAAAAAGCUCCGGCUAACUUCGUGCCAGCAGCCGCGGUAAUACGAAGGGAGCGAGCGUUGUUCGGAAUCACUGGGCUUAAAGCGUGCGUAGGCGGAAGUGUAAGUCAGAAGUGAAAGCCCAGGGCUCAACCUUGGAAUUGCUUUUGAGACUGCAUUUCUAGAAUUCGGUAGAGGCUAGUGGAAUGUCCAGUGUAGAGGUGAAAUUCGCAGAUAUUGGACGGAACACCAGUGGCGAAGGCGACUAGCUGGGCCGAUAUUGACGCUGAGGCACGAAAGCGUGGGUAGCAAACAGG
rnacentral:rRNA from 1 species